CGGGGAGCAGUAGUCGUCCGUUCCUUCGGACGCUAACAUUUUGCUUCCUGUCCGAGGUCGGUUUGCUUUCAGCUGCUUUUAAAAGGAGGAGCGCAUUCAAACUGCAGAAACGGAGCUGAAGUUCAAAUGAAGCCGCACCGGAAUAAAAACAGGCAUCGUUUGUGAUGCAGCAGCCGCUCGGACCGCGUCUCAUUUUAGUCAUGGAUGCUUUCCAACCGUCGCUCAGCUCUCAGUGAAAUGAGACGUCGCUCAUCCUGACAGCCGCAGAUGUGGAUUUCUGAGAGCAUGUAAAAGUUUUAUAAUCUCUUUCACAAGUUUUGGAGGACGAGGCUUAAAGUUCAGGCUCAGAUCUUACUGUGGCACCAAGACGAGGCUUUCGGGGUCAGAAAAGUCAAUCAGAAAACACAGCUUUGGAAAAGUGUAAAUAAGGGAUAAACUUUUCAAAAUGAGAUCCACUUUUAAUCAAACUGCUGCCACAACUGUGCAUGCAGGAUUUAGUAUAAAUAAAAAACAGUUAGUGAAAAAUAGAAGAUAUUAAUAAUGUAACUGCUGUGGGAAGAUCAGAAAAGUUUUUAUUUUUAUCUCAAAUACUUUAUUGACAUUUCUUAUUUUUUCUUUUUCCUAAUAUUAAGAUAUUAUCUAUGAGACUGUUAAAUUUUAAUUUAAAAAGAUGGGGCCUAAAAUAAUUCCCUGUGGAACUACUGCUUCAAUUAUUUUCACUUAAUACAUAAAAUCUGUCUUUAAUGAUGUUGAAACUAAUAUUCCAACAGGAGAUGCUGACAUUUUUAACCAGAAAUGUUCAUUACAUUAUCCGGUUGUUUA